rnacentral:rRNA from 1 species
UACGAAGGGGGCUAGCGUUGUUCGGAAUUACUGGGCGUAAAGCGGGUGUAGGCGGAUCUUUAAGUCGGAGGUGAAAGCCAGGGCUCAACCCUGGAAUUGCCUUCGAUACUGGAGGUCUGGAGUGUGGGAGAGGUGAGUGGAAUUCCGAGUGGAGAGGUGAAAUUCGUAGAUAUUCGGAGGAACACCAGAGGCGAAGGCGGCUCACUGGACCACUACUGACGCUGAGACCCGAAAGCGUGGGGAGCAAACAGG